UGUCCCAGGGAGUGUCAGAUUCCUGUGUGGAAUGAGAGUGUGCAAGUUAUACUUUCCAGAGUACUUAGAAAAAGACAAACCAUAAAGCCUGUAACUGGAAGCAGGUGUCUGGAUUACUUGGCUUGUGUUUGCUGUGGGGACCAGCAUGCCCAGCAAUCAUUAGUCGAAUUUAAUGUGUUGUUAACCUGGGCAUCUGAAAUUAUUGUGAGAAAUGAUGAAUUUGAGAAUUGCUCUAUCUCUAUGAAGAAAUGAGUUGGAAUU